CCAACUUCUCUGGAGAUGGUUGUAGGACUUGUAAACAUUCUCAACUCACAGCUCGUACUGUCAUUCUCCUGGUUUUCUCCAGGCCCAUAUCCUGGUGGACCGUCUUCUCUUGAGGUGGUCACAGGACUCGUAAAUACUCCCGACUCGUAGCUUGUAUUCCAUGAAGUGAUACUGCGCUGGUUUUCUCCAGGCCCAUAUCCUGGUGGACCAAGUUCUCUUGAGAUAGUUGUAGGACUCAUAAACAAUAUUUGCUCACUGCUUGUAUACCAGGAAAUGCCACUGCCUCGGUUUUCUUCAGGCUCAUAUCCUGGAGGACCGACUUCUCUUGAGCUGGUCGCAGGACUCAUAAACAGUCUUCGCUCACAGCUUGUAUUCCAUGGAGCCCCAUUGCCCUGGUUUUCUCCAAGUGCAUAUCCUGGUGGACUAACUUCUCCUGCGAUAGUGGUAGGAGCCAUUAUCACACUCUGCUCACAGC
rnacentral:lncRNA from 1 species